AGACAGUUCGGUCUCUAUCUGUUGUGGGCGUAGAAAUUUGCGAGGCUCCGACACUAGUACGAGAGGACCGUGUUGGACCGACCGCUGGUUUACCAGUUGUACCGCCAGGUGCACCGCUGGGUAGCUAAGUCGGGAUCGGAUAAGUGCUGAAAGCAUCUAAGCACGAAGCCGGCCUCAAGAUAAGAUUUCAUAGGGCCGUUAAAGACGAUGACGUAGAUAGGUUACAGAUGUAAAGUCAGCAAUGACAAAGUCGAGUAAUACUAAUCGCCCGAACACUUCCUUGU
rnacentral:rRNA from 1 species